GACGAACGCUGGCGGCGUGCCUAAUACAUGCCAGUAGAACGCUGAAGGAGGAGCUUGCUUCUCUGGAUGAGUUGCGAACGGGUGAGUAACGCGUAGGUAACCUGCCUGGUAGCGGGGGAUAACUCUUGGAAACGAUAGCUAAUACCGCAUAAUAGUAGAUGUUGCAUGACAUUUGCUUAAAAGGUGCAAUUGCAUCACUACCAGAUGGACCUGCGUUGUAUUAGCUAGUUGGUGGGGUAACGGCUCACCAAGGCGACGAUACAGAGCCGACCUGGGAGGGUGAUCGGCCACACUGGGACUGGGACACGGCCCAGACUCCUACGGGAGGCAGCAGUAGGGAAUCUUCGGCAAUGGACGGAAGGCUGACCGAGCAACGCCGCGUGAGUGAAGAAGGUUUUCGGAUCGUAAAGCUCUGUUGUAAGGGAAGAACGAGUGUGAGAGUGGAAAGUUCACACUGUGACGGUAUCUUACCAGAAAGGGACGGCUAACUACGUG
rnacentral:rRNA from 1 species